rnacentral:tRNA from 1 species
GGACUCGUGGUCCAGUCUGGCUACGACGGUCGCCUCCAAAGCGACAUACGGGGGUUCGAAUCCUUCCGAGUCCA